UGGCAGAACGAAAUAUCCAUGUCUUCAGCUUUUAAAGUAUAAAAAGUCCAGUUGUGCAGAGAGCAGAAGUGAAGAGGAGCUGUAUGGAAGGUGGAUAGAAUGAUUGUGUUAAAACAUCUGCUCUCCCAACGUGAAGACCUCUGCACCACAGAUAGAGAUCUGGGAGAGCUGACUUUGGCAAAAAUUCUUACCCUUUGCCAGCUUCUGCCUGUUCUCCCAGGAUCCGUCUGCAGUCUCCGGAGCAAGUCGGGUGUCCCAGCAGGUCCCAUCCUGGUCACCAGAAACUGUAGUGGAGGACGUGAAUAAUUUUCCCUCCAUC